UUAGGCAGCAGUCGAGAAUAAUUCACAAUGGGGGAAACCCUGAUGGUGCAACGCCGCGUGGAGGAUGAAGGUCUUCGGAUUGUAAACUCCUGUCAUCUGGGAGUGAGACCUGGGCGUGAAUAGCGCACAGGGUUGAUAGUACCAGAAGAGGAAGGGACGGCUAACUUCGUGCCAGCAGCCGCGGUAAUACGAAGGUCCCAAGCGUUGUUCGGAAUCACUGGGCGUAAAGGGUGCGUAGGCGGUUUGGUAAGUCAGAUGUGAAAUCCCGGGGCUCAACCCCGGAACUGCAUCCGAUACUGCCGGACUAGAGGACUGGAGAGGUGACUGGAAUUCUCGGUGUAGCAGUGAAAUGCGUGGAUAUCGAGAGGAACACUCGUGGCGUAAGCGAGUCACUGGACAGUAUCUGACGCUGAGGCACGAAGGCCAGGGGAGCGAAAGGGAUUAGAUACCCCUGUAGUCCUGGCAGUAAACGGUGUGCGCUUGGUGUGAGGGGAAUCGACCCCCCUUGUGCCGGAGCUAACGCGUUAAGCGCACCGCCUGGGAAGUACGGCCGCAAGGCUAAAACUCAAAGAAAUUGACGGGGACCCGCACAAGCGGUGGAGUAUGUGGCUUAAUUCGAUGCAACGCGAAGAACCUUACCUAGGCUUGACAUGCAUCUCUAAGCGCGUGAAAGCGCGUGACCCUUCGGGGGAUUUGCACAGGUGCUGCAUGGCCGUCGUCAACUCGUGUCGUGAGAUGUUGGGUUAAGUCCCGCAACGAGCGCAACCCCUAUUGACAGUUGCUAACAUUAAGUUGAGAACUCUGUCAAGACUGCUGUUGAUAAAACGGAGGAAGGUGGGGAUGAUGUCAAGUCAUCAUGGCCUUUAUGUUCAGGGCUACACACGUGCUACAAUGGUAGGUACAAAACGUCGCAAACUCGUAAGAGGGAGCUAAUCGCUUAAAGCCUAUCUCAGCUCGGAUUGAAGUCUGCAACUCGACUUCAUGAAGUUGGAAUCGCUAGUAAUCGCAGAUCAGAAUGCUGCGGUGAAUACGUUCCCGGGCCUUGUACACACCGCCA
rnacentral:rRNA from 1 species